GAUUAUUUGCAGACCUAAUAUAUAUGUGUAUAUAUAUAUGUAUGCGCGCGCGCGCGCGUGUGUGUGUGUGUGUGUGCUUAUUAUUCCGCAGUAGCCGCGAGUAGUUCGUGAGAUCGCUGCUAAGCGAGGGCGCGGCGCUUCUCCUUCUCGUGAAAAAAUUUACACCAAAAAGCCCAUAAAAGAAAGCUACCCAUAGCAACAAAUUAUCUCUCGAUGCAGUGUAUAGCAAGUAGCUUAAGGAUACUAAACGUAGACAGGAUCUUAUAUACAUGAUCGACCGUUCCCUGACGAUUCCAAUGCUAUACAAGUAUACAGAUACUGCGGGAUAUUUGCAGUAUUUACGCAAUCUACUGUUCCGAUAUCCUGCGGAACGUUCUCAGAAUCCACGUGUGCUGUGUGGUUAAAAGAUUUACUCAAGCGGAAAUGAUUCAAACGCCAUCUGCAUCGAUGUUUUCCGACCGAUCAUCUAUCGAUCUACGUGUGACAGACUCUCAGCCUCAUUCGUAAUUGAUAUUGAAGGUAACCCAUUUUAUUUUUUAAGUAAUAUUGUUCAAAAUAUUAUGUACAAUUAUAAAUAAUAUAUUUUUAUAUAAAUAAUAUAAUAAUUUCUAAUAUAUCUUGUAAUUAAAUAAAUUGAUAGAGGUUAUCGUUUGAGAUUAUCGUUGUAAGUUGCAAAGCUGACAGCAAAUCAUUUUUUUAUAAUAAAAGAAUAAUUUUAUUACAAAUUACAGGUGACUGGAACCGCCUAAAUCGGUACUCAUUGUGUUGCGUUCGUCCGUCGCGAGAAACGCAAUCGAGAUUCAUCCCGUGACGAGAAACAGACAGAGACAGACAGACAGACAGAGAGAGAGAGAGAGAGAGAGAGAGAGAGAGAGAGAGAGAGAGAGAGAGAGAGAUUUAUUAUGCCCAAGCAUAGGCUGAAGGGCAAAGUAUGAGUUACAAAAGAAUGAAGAUAAAACAUCAAGAACAUAAAGAUAGAAGUAUAACGCAGAAUUAAUGAAACGCUACAUGAGAAUUACAGUAGUAAGGUAACUUAACCUAACCUAACCUAACUAAAAACUAAUAUUAAAACUAAGAACGCAAAGGACGAGUCUUAAGCAGAUUAAAAUCAAGAGUAAGCGUAAAAUAAAAAUAAAAUAAAAAUAAUAGCAUACGGCGUGCUACAGUGGUACAACGGAGAUCAGGCUAACUCAAAUGCUAGUAGAAAUAAUCGGAGGAGAAACUUGAAAGAUCCCAGUGAGGGAGCGGAAACAAUAUUGUCAGGAAGAGAGUGCCAGAAAUAAAUCGCGGAUAAAUGAAAGAAAUUACGAUAAGUAGUUCUAUGACAAGGAAUAUGAAAAAUAUGUGAUGAUGUCAAUGUGCAAUUAGAUCUCUCCUUAAUGAAGGAUCAAGAGGAAUAAAGAGUUCACUUAGAUAAGAGGGAGACUGAUGAUUAAGAAUGCGGUAAAUAAAGCAACCAAGGAAGAACAGCCUCCUAUUCUUAACAGAAAGCCACUCAAGACGACGUCUAAAUGGUGUGAUAUGUUCAUUACGCCUUAAACUGAAAAUAAAUCUGAUGCAACAGUUUCCGAGUCUUUGCAGCUUGAUGUUCAAAUCAUUGCUCAAUCCAUGAUAGAUCAGACAGCAGUAAUCGAUAUGAGGCAGUAUCAAGGUGUUUACGA